CUGUCAUAUCGUUGCAUGUGUUAUAGUUAUAUUUCUUUACUUUUUUCUUGAUUUAUAGGUUAUGAUUGAUUUUAAUUUCUUCUUAUUCUUUUUCUUUUCUUGAAAGGACAGUGGUGAUAGGAUUACUUUUCUCAUCUGGAAUAGGAUAAUAUGGUUAUGAUAAAGGAAAUGGAAAUGUCACUUGAGAGGAAUAUAAGUUGUUUAAAUGAAUUGUUUCAGUAAUUAAAAUGAAGGGCAGUGUCCAAACGUCAUUAAAUCAUAUUCAUAAUGGAUUAUUAUAUUAAAAUAUAAAUGCCAAAUCUACAACAGUUACAAGAUUGUAAGUAUAUCUUAAAUAUGUAUUUCCUAUCUAUCGCCUUGUUGUUUUAAUUAUUAUUAUUAUUAUUAAUAUUAUAAUAUAUACACCACAAUAAAGUGGUGAAAGAGUUCAAUAAUUUUUAUAUUACUGAUCCCCUUGUUUAUAAUGCACAGAAUUCAUCUCCUUUUUCUUUUCUAUACCAUAACCAAAGUUUUAACGUCAUAUAUACUUUUUCUAAUAUUAUAUAUAUUAAAAACAACAUGGCAUAAAUUAAAUAGAAUAAUAUAGAUAUAUCAUGGUUAUGGAUAAAAACUGUAUUACUAAAAACUAAAGAUUUGUUUCAAAUGUCAAAAUGUUUUUUUUUUUUUUUUUAUAAAUAAAUGUAUUAAACAUCAUACUUUGUGAAAA